rnacentral:tRNA from 1 species
AGCCUUGUAUUCAAAUAUGAUUUUAAAUUGCAAAUUUAAAGGUGGGGUUACCUAAGGCUU